AAUAUGGGUCAAGGGAGGCAACUCUGAACCAGCCAAGUCGCGUGAAGGAUGACUGNCCNNCGGGUNGNAAACUUCUUUUUUAANNNNNUAAAGUGAGCCCCGUGUGGCUUGUUACAUGUACCUUACGAAUAAGGAGUGGCUAACUCCGCGCCAUCAGCCGCGGUAAUACGGAGGAUCCGAGCGUUAUCCGGAUUUAUUGGGUUUAAAGGGUGCGCAGGCGGAAUAUUAAGUCGGCGGUGAAAGUUUGCAGCUUAACUGUAAAAUUGCCGUUGAAACUGGUUUUCUUGAGUGUAUAUGAAGUAGGCGGAAUUUGUAGUGUAGCGGUGAAAUGCAUAGAUAUUACAAGGAACUCCGAUUGCGAAGGCAGCUUACUAAAAUACAACUGACGCUCAGGCACGAAGGCGUGGGUAUCAAACA
rnacentral:rRNA from 1 species